rnacentral:rRNA from 1 species
GAUGAACGCUGGCGGCGUGCCUAAUACAUGCAAGUCGAGCGAACGGACGAGAAGCUUGCUUCUCUGUUGUUAGCGGCGGACGGGUGAGUAACACGUGGAUAACCUACCUAUAAGACUGGGAUAACUUCGGGAAACCGGAGCUAAUACCGGAUAAUAUUUUGAACCGCAUGGUUCAAAAGUGAAAGACGGUCUUGCUGUCACUUAUAGAUGGAUCCGCGCUGCAUUAGCUAGUUGGUAAGGUAACGGCUUACCAAGGCAACGAUGCAUAGCCGACCUGAGAGAGUGAUCGGCCACACUGGAACUGAGACACGGUCCAGACUCCUACGGGAGGCAGCAGUAGGGAAUCUUCCGCAAUGGGCGAAAGCCUGACGGAGCAACGCCGCGUGAGUGAUGAAGGUCUUCGGAUCGUAAAACUCUGUUAUUAGGGAAGAACAUAUGUGUAAGUAACUGUGCACAUCUUGACGGUACCUAAUCAGAAAGCCACGGCUAACUACGUG